rnacentral:rRNA from 1 species
AGUGAACGCUGGCGGUAGGCCUAACACAUGCAAGUCGAACGGCAGCACAGUAAGAGCUUGCUCUUACGGGUGGCGAGUGGCGGACGGGUGAGGAAUACAUCGGAAUCUACUUUUUCGUGGGGGAUAACGUAGGGAAACUUACGCUAAUACCGCAUACGACCUACGGGUGAAAGCAGGGGAUCUUCGGACCUUGCGCGAUUGAAUGAGCCGAUGUCGGAUUAGCUAGUUGGCGGGGUAAAGGCCCACCAAGGCGACGAUCCGUAGCUGGUCUGAGAGGAUGAUCAGCCACACUGGAACGGAGACACGGUCCAGACUCCUACGGGAGGCAGCAGUGGGGAAUAGUGGACAAUGGGCGCAAGCCUGAUCCAGCCAUACCGCGUGGGUGAAGAAGGCCUUCGGGUUGUAAAGCCCUUUUGUUGGGAAAGAAAAGCAGCAGGUUAAUACCCCGCUGUUCUGACGGUACCCAAAGAAUAAGCACCGGCUAACUUCGUG